GACGAACGCUGGCGGCGUGCUUAACACAUGCCAGUCGAACGGAAAGGCCCUGCUCUUGUUGGGUGCUCGAGUGGCGAACGGGUGAGUAACACGUGAGUAACCUGCCCUUGACUUUGGGAUAACUCCAGGAAACUGGGGCUAAUACCGGAUAGGAGCUCCUGCUGCAUGGUGGGGGUUGGAAAGUUUCGGUGGUGGGGGCUGGACUAGCGGCUUAUCAGCUGGUUGGGGAGGUAGUGGCUGACCAGGCCUUUGAAGGGUAGCCGGCCUGAGAGGGUGACCGGCCACAAUGGGACUGAGAUACGGACCAGACUCGUACGGGCGGCAGUAGUGGGGAAUAUUACACAGUGGGCGGAAGCCUGAUGCAGCAGCGCCGCGUGCGGGAUGACGGCCUUCGGGUUGUAAACCGAUUUCGCAUGUGACGAAGAGUGAGUGACGGUAAUGGGUAAAGAAGCACCGGCUAACUACGUG
rnacentral:rRNA from 1 species